rnacentral:rRNA from 1 species
UACAGAGGGUGCUAGCGUUGUUCGGAAUCAUUGGGCGUAAAGCGUGUGUAGGCGGAUCGUUAAGUGUCUUGUGAAAUCCCACGGCUCACCCGUGGAACGGCUGGGCAUACUGGCGAUCUUGGGCCAACUAGGGGCAACUGGAACAAGCGGUGGAGCGGUGAAAUGCGUAGAUAUCGCUUGGAACGCCGAAAGUGAAAACAGGUUGCUGGGGUUGUGCCGACGCUGAGACACGAAAGCCAGGGGAGCAAACGGG